rnacentral:pre_miRNA from 12 species
AAAAUGGCAUGGCAGGCCUUCUCUUUCCAGUUCUUCCCAGAAUUGGGAAAAGCUGGGUUGACAGGGUAAAAAAAAGAAAAAU